UACGAAGGGGGCUAGCGUUGCUCGGAAUCACUGGGCGUAAAGCGCACGUAGGCGGCUUUUAAGUCAGGGGUGAAAUCCUGGAGCUCAACUCCAGAACUGCCUUUGAUACUGAGAGCUUGAGUCCGGGAGAGGUGAGUGGAACUGCGAGUGUAGAGGUGAAAUUCGUAGAUAUUCGCAAGAACACCAGUGGCGAAGGCGGCUCACUGGCCCGGUACUGACGCUGAGGUGCGAAAGCGUGGGGAGCAAACAGG
rnacentral:rRNA from 1 species